rnacentral:tRNA from 1 species
GGAUGAAUGUCUGAGUGGUUUAAAGUACCAACCUUGAAAGUUGGCGCAUGAAAAACAUGCCAUAGGUUCGAAUCCUAUUUCAUCCU